AACGGGGUAGGGACGGAGAGGGAAAAUGCCUGAUGGGGCGAGGGGCGGGGGAACCCGCUCCAUUGCCAGUCCGCUAGUUUGUCACAGCGCUUCAUUCUUCAAAGUUCAAACCCUAACCUAAAGCCCAAAUCCAAGGGCAUUGACGAUUCACAAUCUGAUUACGCUCGAGGCAGAGGACUUCAGCUAAUUAGUUAGAGGUUACUCAAAGCAGCCGAGUCAUGUAAAGUGCCAUUUGAAUUCCACAAUGCUGGCAUGUCAGGAUGUGAUAUCCAACUCGAGAAUCUUUAGGUUCAACAAAGAAAAUCUUUGGUCUUGAAUUUUCCUUCCAUGCUUCGCCCCAUGUCGGACGAGAGGGUGAGCACAGCAGAUCAUCGAGACUGCAUACUAAGACUAGAUAAGAGCUUGUCACCCUAGGUUGUAACGCACUUGAACAAAAACAUUGCCCCGUUUUUUCAGCACCUUUUUUUUUCUGGUAAAAACUCUAAUGUUAUUAUGCUGUAGUGUUAGAGUCAAUUGACUGGAAUGACAAAAAAAUUCACUCAA